UACGUAGGGGGCAAGCGUUGUCCGGAAUCAUUGGGCGUAAAGAGCGUGUAGGCGGCUCGGUAAGUCCGCUCUGAAAGCCCGGGGCUCAACCCCGGGAGGCGGGCGGAUACUGUCGAGCUAGAGUCCGGAAGAGGCGAGUGGAAUUCCUGGUGUAGCGGUGAAAUGCGUAGAUAUCGGGAGGAACAUCAGUGGCGAAGGCGGCCUUCUGGGCCUGUCCUGACGCUGAGGCGCGAAAGCGUGGGGAACGAACCGG
rnacentral:rRNA from 1 species